CAGGCCUAACACAUGCAAGUCGAACGAUGAUCAGGAGCUUGCUCCUGUGAUUAGUGGCGAACGGGUGAGUAACACGUGAGUAACCUGCCCCUGACUCUGGGAUAAGCGUUGGAAACGACGUCUAAUACUGGAUACGAUCACCGGCCGCAUGGUCUGGUGGUGGAAAGAUUUUUUGGUUGGGGAUGGACUCGCGGCCUAUCAGCUUGUUGGUGAGGUAAUGGCUCACCAAGGCGACGACGGGUAGCCGGCCUGAGAGGGUGACCGGCCACACUGGGACUGAGACACGGCCCAGACUCCUACGGGAGGCAGCAGUGGGGAAUAUUGCACAAUGGGCGAAAGCCUGAUGCAGCAACGCCGCGUGAGGGAUGACGGCCUUCGGGUUGUAAACCUCUUUUAGUAGGGAAGAAGCGAAAGUGACGGUACCUGCAGAAAAAGCACCGGCUAACUACGUGCCAGCAGCCGCGGUAAU
rnacentral:rRNA from 1 species